rnacentral:rRNA from 1 species
ACUCCUGCGGGAGGCAGCAGUGGGGAAUAUUGCACAAUGGGCGCAAGCCUGAUGCAGCCAUGCCGCGUGUAUGAAGAAGGCCUUCGGGUUGUAAAGUACUUUCAGCGGGGAGGAAGGCGAUAAGGUUAAUAACCUUGUUGAUUGACGUUACCCGCAGAAGAAGCACCGGCUAACUCCGUGCCAGCAGCCGCGGUAAUACGGAGGGUGCAAGCGUUAAUCGGAAUUACUGGGCGUAAAGCGCACGCAGGCGGUCUGUCAAGUCGGAUGUGAAAUCCCCGGGCUCAACCUGGGAACUGCAUUCGAAACUGGCAGGCUAGAGUCUUGUAGAGGGGGGUAGAAUUCCAGGUGUAGCGGUGAAAUGCGUAGAGAUCUGGAGGAAUACCGGUGGCGAAGGCGGCCCCCUGGACAAAGACUGACGCUCAGGUGCGAAAGCGUGGGGAGCAAACAGGAUUAGAAACCCGAGUAGUCCCAUGA